ensembl:lncRNA DPY19L2P2 DPY19L2 pseudogene 2
UAGUCAACGGCUCGUCAACGGCUGCGGGGACAAGUCCGUUGAGGCUGCCAGGCGAGUCAGGCCUUUCUGGACCUCGCCUGACUCGGCUGGGCUGUGCCUGAAAUUGACCCAGCUCCACUAGGAAUUAUGAAGAAACAAGGAGGGAAUUGAAAACAAGGAAUUCCCCAACCAAACAGGGGCACAGGCUGUGUUUGCAGCUCCUGUAAAAGCUCCAUACCCAGAGCCGUGUCUCCCAGCUCCCAGCCGUCUUUGUGGCAAUUCUACAUUGGUUACAUUUAGUAACACUUUUUGAAAAUGAUCAUCAUUUCUCUCACCUCUCAUCUUUGGAACGGGAGAUGACUUUUUGCAUUGAAACGGUUAGGUUUCUUCUUCUAACGAAUUAAUUUGUGGUUUAAGAAUAGCCAGACCGAGAGGUGACAGCAUGCUGGCAGUCCUCAGAGCCCUUGCUUGCUCUCGGCACCUCCCCUGCCUGGGCUCCCGCUUUGGUGGCAUUUGAGGAGCCCUUCAGUCCCCCACUGCACUGUGGGAGCCCCUUUCUGGGCUGGCCAAGGCCGGAGCCCACUCCCUCAGCUUGCAGGGAGGUGUGGAGGGAGAGACACGAGCGGGAACCGGGGCUGUGUGCUGCACUUGCGGGCCAUCUGGAGUUCCGGGUGGGCGUGGGCUUGGUGGGCCCCGCACUCAGAGCAGCCAGCCAGCCCUGCUGGCCCCGGGCAAUGGGGGACUUAGCACCUGGGCCAGUGGCUGCGGAGGGUGUACUGAGUCCCCCAGCAGUGCUGGCCCACCGGCGCUGCGCUCGAUUUCUCGCUGGGCCUUGGCUGCCUUCCCACGGGGCAGGGCUCGGGACCUGCAGCCCGCCAUGCCUGAGCCUCCUACCCAAUCCAUGGGCUCCUGUGCGGCCUGAGCCUCCCCGACGAGCACCACCCCCUGCUCCACGGCGCCCAGUCCCAUCGACCACGCAAGGGCUGAGGAAUGCGAGCGCCCGGCACAGGACUGGCAGGCAGCUCCACCUGCAGCCCCAGUGCAGGAUCCACUAGGUGAAGCCAGCUGGGCUCCUGAGUCUGGUGGGGACGUGGAGAGUCUUUAUAUCUAGCUCAGGGAUUGUAAAUACACCAAUCAGCACCCUGUGUUUAGCUCAAGGUUUGUGAGUGCACCAGUCAACACUCUGUAUCUAGCUGCUCUGGUGAGGGCGUGGAGAGUCUUUAUGUCUAGCUCAAGGAUUGUAAAUACACCAAUCAGCACUCUGUGUCUAGCUCAAGGAUUGUAAAUACACCAAUCGGCACUCUGUAUCUAGCUCAAGGUUUGUAAACACACCAAUCAGCACCCUGUGUUUAGCUCAAGGUUUGUGAGUGCACCAGUCGACACUCUGUAUCUAGCUGCCCUGAUGGGGACGUGGAGAACCUUUGUAUCUAGCUCAGGGAUUGUAAACGCACCAAUCAGCGCCCUGACGAAACAGGCCACUCGGCUCUACCAAUCAGCAGGAUGUAGGUGGGGCCAGAUAAGAGAAUAAAAGCGGGCUGCCCGAGCCAGCAUUGGCAACCCGCUCGGGUCCCCUUCCACACUGUGGAAGCUUUGUUCUUUCGCUCUUUGCAAUAAAUCUUGCUACUGCUCACUCUUUGGGUCCACGCUGCUUUUGUGAGCUGUAACACUCACCAUGAAGAUCUGCAGCUUCACUCCUGAGCCCAGCGAGACCACGAGCCCACCGGGAGGAACGAACAACUCCAGACACGCCACCUUAAGAGCUGUAACACUCACCGCGAGGGUCCACCGCUUCAUUCUUGAAGUCAGUGAGACCAAGAACCCACCAAUUCCGGACACAAGACUAUGAGGGACUUUAUUAUUCUUACUUCAAGACCAUUAUUGAAGCACCUUCAUUUUUGGGAGGACUGUGGAUGAUUAUGAAUGACAGGCUUACUGAAUAUCCUCUUGUAAUUAAUGCAGUAAAACGCUUCCAUAUUUAUCCAGAGGUAAUCAUAGCCUCCUGGUAUCGCACAUUCAUGGGAAUAGUGAAUUUAUUUGGACUAGAAACUAAGACCUGCUGGAAUGUCACCAGAAUAGAACCUCUUAAUGAAGUUCAAAGCUGUGAAGGAUUGCGAGAUCCUGCUUGCUUUUAUGUUGGUGUAAUCUUUAUUUUAAAUGGACUAAUGAUGGGAUUGUUCUUCAUAUAUGGAACAUACCUAAGUGGUACUGAACUGGGAGGUCUUAUUACAGUACUGUGCUUCUUUUUCAACCAUGGAGAGGCCACCUGUGUGAUGUGGACACCACCUCUCCGUGAAAGUUUUUCCUAUCCUUUCCUUGUACUUCAGAUGUAUGUUUUAACUUUGAUUCUCAGGACCUCAAGCAAUGAUAGAAGGCCCUUCAUUGCACUCUGUCUUUCCAAUGUUGCUUUUAUGCUUCCCUGGCAAUUUGCUCAGUUUAUACUUUUUACACAGAUAGCAUCAUUAUUUCCCAUGUAUGUUGUGGGAUACAUUGAACCAAGCAAAUUUCAGAAGAUCAUUUAUAUGAACAUGAUUUCAGUUACCCUUAGUUUCAUUUUGAUGUUUGGAAAUUCAAUGUACUUAUCUUCUUAUUAUUCUUCAUCUUUGUUAAUGACAUGGUUUAGUAAUCCUGGCUCACUUUGGGAAUUUCUUCACCAACUAAAUGAUAAAAAAUUGGAAUCUAAGUCUAAAUAAUACGCAAGUCGAAGAAUUCAGUUUCUCAUGAGCGCACUGUUUUCACCCCAAACUUGGGAAUAAACAAAUAACCUAUCAACUUGUAGAGAUGGCAAUAAUUCUAAAGAGAAAUGAAAUUCAAAAACUGGGAGUAUCUAAACUCAACUGCUGGCUAAUUCAAGGUAGUGCCUGGUGGUGUGGAACAAUCAUUUUGAAAUUUCUGACAUCUAAAAUCUUAGGCGUUUCAGACCAUAUUUGCCUGAGUGAUCUUAUAGCAGCCGGAAUCUUAAGGUAUACAGAUUUUGAUACUUUAAAAUACACCUGUUCUCCCGAAUUUGACUUCAUGGAAAAAGCGACUCUGCUGAUAUACACAAAGACAUUAUUGCUUCCAGUUGUUAUGGUGAUUACAUGUUUUAUCUUUAAAAAGACUGUUGGUGAUAUUUCGCGUGUUUUAGCUACAAACGUUUAUCUAAGAAAACAGCUCCUUGAACACAGUGAGCUGGCUUUUCACACAUUGCAGUUGUUAGCAUUUACUGCCCUUGCCAUUUUAAUUUUGAGGCUAAAGCUGUUUUUGACACAGCACAUGUGUGUUAUGGCUUCCUUGAUAUGCUCUUGACGGCUCUUUGGCUGGCUUUUUCGCAGAGUUCGCAGAGAGAAUGUUAUCUUUGGCAUUCUAACAGUGAUGUCAAUACAAGGUUAUGCAAACCUCUGUAAUCAAUGGAGCAUAACAGGAGAAUUUAAUGAUUUGCCUCAGGAAGAACUUUUACAGUGGAUCAAAUACAAUACCGUACCAGAUGCUGUCUUUGCAGGUGCCAUGCCUACAAUGGCAAGUGUCAAGCUGUCUACACUUCAUCCCAUUGUGAAUCAUCCACAUUACGAAGAUGCAGACUUGAGGGCUUGGACAAAAAUAGUUUAUUCUACAUAUAGUGGAAAAUCUGCCAAAGAAGUAAGAGAUAAAUUGUUGGAGUUACAUGUGAAUUAUUAUGUUUUAGAAGAGGCAUGGUGUGUUGUGAGAACUAAGCCUGGUUGCAGCAUGCUUGAAAUCUGGGAUGUGGAAGACCCUUCCAAUGCAGCUAACCCUCCCUUAUGUAGCGUCCUCCUUGAGCCGAGAUUGUGCCACUGCACUCCAGCCUGGGCGACAAAUCAAGACCCCGUCUCCAAAAAAAAAAAAAACAAAACUUGAUUGGGAUCCAAAAUCAUACAACUAUACACUAAAAUCAGUGAAUAUUACCUUAUGUAAAUUAAAAAUUAGGAAAUCAAAAGAAAAGCAUACAUAUAAAAAACAGUUUUUUCUAAGCA